GAUGAACGCUGGCGGCGUGCCUAAUACAUGCAAGUCGAGCGAAUGGAUUAAGAGCUUGCUCUUAUGAAGUUAGCGGCGGACGGGUGAGUAACACGUGGGUAACCUGCCCAUAAGACUGGGAUAACUCCGGGAAACCGGGGCUAAAACCGGAUAACAUUUUGAACCGCAUGGUUCGAAAUUGAAAGGCGGCUUCGGCUGUCACUUAUGGAUGGACCCGCGUCGCAUUAGCGAGUUGGUGAGGUAACGGCUCACCAAGGCAACGAUGCGUAGCCGACCUGAGAGGGUGAUCGGCCACACUGGGACUGAGACACGGCCCAGACUCCUACGGGAGGCAGCAGUAGGGAAUCUUCCGCAAUGGACGAAAGUCUGACGGAGCAACGCCGCGUGAGUGAUGAAGGCUUUCGGGUCGUAAAACUCUGUUGUUAGGGAAGAACAAGUGCUAGUUGAAUAAGCUGGCACCUUGACGGUACCUAGCCAGAAAGCCACGGCUAACUACGUGCCAGCCGCCGCAGUAA
rnacentral:rRNA from 1 species